GUGGGGAAUAUUGGGCAAUGGGCGAAAGCCUGACCCAGCAACGCCGCGUGAAGGAAGAAGGUCUUCGGAUUGUAAACUUCUGUCCUAUGGGAAGAAAAAAAUGACUGUACCAUAGGAGGAAGCUCCGGCUAACUACGUGCCAGCAGCCGCGGUAAUACGUAGGGAGCGAGCGUUGUCCGGAAUUACUGGGCGUAAAGGGUGCGUAGGCGGUUUUUUAAGUCAGAUGUGAAAUACCCGGGCUUAACCCGGGGGGUGCAUUUGAAACUGGAAGACUUGAGUGCAGGAGAGGUAAAUGGAAUUCCUAGUGUAGCGGUGAAAUGCGCAGAUAUUAGGAGGAACACCGGUGGCGAAGGCGAUUUACUGGACUGUAACUGACGCUGAGGCACGAAAGCGUGGGGAGCAAACAGGAUUAGAAACCCUAGUAGUCC
rnacentral:rRNA from 1 species